UAUAUAUACAAUAUACAUACUUUUGAAAAAUUACUUUUAUAAACGUUGCUAAAAAAAAAAAAAACGCGUGUUAUAUGCUCUUUAUAUAAAAAUCCAUUAUAUGUCAAUAUCAUUAUUACAUCUUUUUACCCUAUCUUCUUUCAUUACCUGUUUUAAUUAGGAAAACGAAAAUAAAAACUUUUCGUUCACCACGAGCCAAAUGAGAUAUUUUGAAAAUGUGGAGGAAUAUAUGAAAGAUGAAGAAAACUAUUUUAAAAUAAAGAAAUUAAUAUUAAAAAGAAAAAAACAGCUCGAUAAAACUAUUGAAUUCGACUUAAAUACAUUGCGUGAAAAAGCAAAUAUGUACGAAAAAUUAAAUUACAAACUAUGGAAAUUUAUAAUGAACAAUAAUAAUAAACAAAUUAAAAAGUGUUCAUUAAAUGAAAAAAUUCAAACAUUCGACACAACUUCUAAUUCGAACCCUAACCUGAACCCUAACCUGAACCCUAACCUGAACCCUAGCCUGAACCCUAAUCUGAACCCUAGCCUGAAUCAAAUUUCGAACUAUAAUAUAGAGCAAGAUUGGUAUAACAGUUAUAUACAAAAAAAAAUUAUUCCCCAAUAUAUUAGAUACAAGUACGUGUAUGACUAUUAUAUGCAAUGCAAAAAAAAAAAAGAAAUUCAUAUAAACAAAAAAAAAUUUUCUGAAUUUUUCAUUAAAAAUAUAAUGAAUUUUAAAACUGAUAGUGUUAACGAUCAAGAUGAUGCAUUACAAAUCGAAAAAAUCAAAAAACAAUUUUCAAAAAUAAUUUAUAAAUUAAAUAAGCCAAAACAUGCUUUGAUUAAAAAUGGUAGUUUAACUAAGUGCACAAUUCAUGAAAAAACUAAAGGUCAUGAUGCCAAUAUAUAUAACAAAGAAGAUUAUAAGCAAGUAAUAAAAGAUGCCAUUGGUAGAACGAGAUAUUAUGUUAAUGAUAAUAAAACAAAGAUGAAACAUCCAGUAGUAAAUGCAAAGGAAAAUGAGGUACAGGGGGGAUGGAGCAAAGCUGGUGGGACAAAACAGAUGAAAAUGGAAGCAAAUCGGGAAAAAAAAAAUGUAGAAAAAGGUGAAGUAAAACAAGAAAUAAAAACAGAAAAAAAAAAACAGAAAGCAAAGAAUUCACAAUUUAAUGAAACGAAGGAAGAAAACAAAAAUACAAAAUUUGAAGAAAUAGAAGUUAAACAGAUAGAACUAGUAAAACAAAAUAGUGACAAAGUGAAUGCGAACAAAAGCGAUAAAAUAACUAAAAAUAUAAAUGAGUAUGAAAAAGCUGUUAUAAAGAAAAAUAAAGAACAAAUGUAUAAAAGAAAUAUGAAGAAUUUAGUUGAAACAAAUAAAUUAUAUCAUAAAAAAUCAAACAGCUAUAACAAUUUUUAUCUGUUUUCAGAUAAUUUCAAUAACUUUAAAAAUGUUUCCCCUACCAGACAUAAUUCUUCAUUAGAAAUAUUAAAACAGGAUAUAAAAAAAUUUAUUAAUAAUGAUACAAACGAAAAUGAAAAUAAAAAUAUGCAAAGUAAAGAAAGUGAUAUAUCAAAUAUACACAAUGACAAUUUCAAAACUAUUAUUGAUACAAAUGUAAAUAGUAACAGCAUAAAUUUUUUAAAAAAU
rnacentral:lncRNA from 1 species